AUGAACGCUAGCGGCAGGCUUAACACAUGCAAGUCGAGGGGCAGCAUAAUGAAGUAGCAAUACGGAAUUGAUGGCGACCGGCGCACGGGUGCGUAACGCGUAUGUAACCUACCUCUAACAGGGGGAUAACACUGAGAAAUUGGUACUAAUACCCCAUAACACUUCGGAGGGCAUCUUCUGGAGUUGAAAGUUCAGGCGGUUAUGGAUGGGCAUGCGUUGUAUUAGCUAGAUGGUGAGGUAACGGCUCACCAUGGCUACGAUACAUAGGGGGACUGAGAGGUUAACCCCCCACACUGGUACUGAGACACGGACCAGACUCCUACGGGAGGCAGCAGUGAGGAAUAUUGGUCAAUGGACGCAAGUCUGAACCAGCCAUGCCGCGCGCAGGAUGACGGCUCUAUGAGUUGUAAACUGCUUUUGUACAAGGGUAAACCCUGGGACGCGUCCCAGGCUGAAAGUACUGUACGAAUAAGGAUCGGCUAACUCCGUG
rnacentral:rRNA from 1 species